CCAUAGCUCAAUUGGAUAGAGCACUAGACUUCGGAUCUAGGGGUUGGGGGUUCGACUCCCUCUGG
rnacentral:tRNA from 1 species